rnacentral:lncRNA from 1 species
GUAAAGUUGGUGCAGCAGACGUAUUCGCGGUUUUUCUUCGUUAAACGUCUCAAGGUAUGGGCAUUUAAUAGAACAAUCUCUUUUUGAAUUGAAUGGAUCUUUAUUAAAGGUGACAUGACACGAAAUUUUUAUUGUCCCAUCUGAAAGAAUAAUGAAUAGUGUAAAGUAACUUCUUUACAAAUUUUCGUUUACAUUCUUCCUUGAUGAGAGAAUUCAGUUUAGUUCACAUGCAUUGCAAACAAAUUUACGUCACAGUUUGCAUAAUGAGCUACCAAAUAUUUGAUAAUUUAUGUAUUUUUAUCCAACAUCGUCAUUUGCAAAACCGCAUAUGCUUUACAUUGUCCUCAGCAUAACGCAUAUAUGGAUUUUCAAACGAUUUAAUCACUUAUAUAUGCGUGUAACUUGACAUUUAACGAUAAAUCAUUAUGCAAAGUGUGACGUAAAUUUGUUUCCACUUCAUAUCAAGAAAACUGAAUACCCCACCAAGGAAGCACGUGAACAAAAAUGUGUAAAAGAAGUUGCUUUACAGUUUUGACGAUUCUUUCCGAUGGGCCAAUAAAAUAUUUCGUCUCAUGUCACCUUUGACCGUGAUUCAGGAAAAGGUUAUUGCACGUUGCAAUAUUCACCAUUCCAAAAAAGUUCACAAAAUAUUUCAAAUGUGAAACUAUGUGCGGACUUGAAACAAUUUGGAAAUGUUAUUUAUCUUCUUGACGGGUAUCCGACUCUUUCUUCGAUACAAAUGUAUAAUUAAAGGUAAUUAUUCCUGUUUUUUAAAUAAAAAUAAUUAAAUUGCCACAGUAACGAAAGUUGCGUAACUUUUGUGAAAAAAUUCAUACCUUUCAUAUAUUGUUUCACACAACUAAGAUACAUUUUGUUUUUCAAUGAGUAAUAUUAUUAUAUGGCAAGCAUUUGUUUUGAAGAAUCGCGCAAUUUGAUUGGCUGCUGACAAGGCAGGAUUUUCUCGUAUUUCUCACGGGUAAUACGCAAUUUAUAUUGCCCUGCGAAGAUAGCCGAGUUUCAAACGGCAAAAAGUGUCUAAAAGUCUUUCAAACUAUUCAAAAGGAAGAAAAAUAAACCUAUAAUAAUAAAAAGCAGCAACUGAUGUGUUUAAAGAACUUUCUCAUUGCGUUUUUGCUAGCGAAAAUUAAAAUUACAAGGUAAAUUUCACAAUGUUUAUAACUAUUAAAGUAGUCGGGAAUAGUUGUGUUUUGACUAUGUGAAGAGCUGCAAAUUCUAUUUGCAGAUAGCCAGGAGGAACUUACACCAUCCUAAAUAAAAAAUACAACUAAAGCAGCCACAGAUAUAUAAUUUUUCCCUGAAAAUGCCUGUUUUUGUUAGAUAAAAAUAGACAUAAAUAUGUGAUUAAGCGAACUAAAAACAUACUUGUCCAUACUGUUUAUUAAUUUUAUUGUUUUCAUAUUUGACAUUUGUUGUCUUUCAUUAAAUAACGAAAUACCUCGUAUUUUUCUUGAAAUGCUAUCAAAACUGUGCUAGUAUUCUAGAUAAAAAGUGUUGUAGUGCUGUUAUAGUCUUACUAACCAAGAGAACAUUUUUAUAUGAAUUUGGUUUUUUUAGAAAUUUUUCGGACUUUGUACUUUGACCUCGCGUCAGCUUUUUUCCCAUUUUGCAAACGUACAAUGCCAUGUAAUAAAAAAAACUUACUGACCUCAACCGUUCGGGCAGCACGGGAAAAUAUCCACCCUCGGUAAUUGCUGCAUUGACCUCGCUAUCGCUCUGUCAAUACAGCAAGACCUCGGUUGGAUAUUUUCCCGUACUACCCUAACUCUCGGUCAGUAAGUUAUUAAUUCUCAAAAAAUACGGAUCUAAAUUGUAAGCUUCCAUUCAUAUUUACGUGUGACAUCCUUCACAUGUUCACACCUUUCAGGGAAUGUACAUGGUUUACCUAACAUUUUAACUGACCGGAUAAUAAAUAUUUGUCUCUGCUUCCGUCGACGUCGGUGCGCCUGUUCGUCCGUCCGAACGGCUGUUUGUCCCACUGAUGACUUACAAUUAGGAUCAAGAUUUAAUUUUUGGUUAAAUUUGGAUGAAUACUGGACGAGGAAUUGGCAAACGUUUGCUUGGCUUUGUCGACCUGAUUAAUUGAACUGAAUGCGUGAUUUUCCAUUGUACGAUUUAUGCGUGAUACAUUACUUACUUUUCUUGCGGAGGUAUGCAGUCUCCUCUAGUUAAUGAUAAAAUCACUUAAAAUAAGUGCAACUAAAUGGGAAAAUUGUAGUUCAAUCUGUUAAUAUAAGUUAAUAAUAACUUUGUUAUUUCCUUUUAAUUAACAGGUUUAACAUCCACUCCUAAAGAAAGCAAAAGGAAAGGCUAUGAUAAUGAUUUGAAUCUUACUUUAAUAUUUUCAAUAAUAUUCAUUGUUAAAAUAAUUUGUAGACAUUAAUUGGUAGAUUCAUAGAAAGAAAUUAAUUCGGUGGCUACAUGUCUUUUAUUAAUGAUUUCAUGUAUAAUUUUUCUUUUGAUUAAUGUAAACAUUCACGCACAAUUCUUGUCGUUAAUAUUUUUAUUCUGUUAGUUUAUAUUAUUUUAUUUACGCUUUUAACUUUUCGACGAAGCGCCGGAAACGACAAAUUUCUUUGCGUUUUUUCGGGUGCUACUGUAAGCUAGUCUUACUAUGUGGAAAAGACUAGUCAUGCCAACCAGUCAUGCUAUGUUUAAUAAAUCUACAUUUAAAUAGAUUAAAGACAAAUCAUUUCCACGGGUUUGAACACUGUCAACCAUUACAAAUUUGGAUAUCAUGCAUGGGCUGUUGUUAUGGCUAGUUCCACCACUGAGUAUUACCAAAACCGGGCAUCCUAGCCUUCCAUGCACUCAUAAAAAAAAACCUGUCACUACGCCGUGUGAAAACAUUCAGGAUUGCGACUACGUUCCUAAUGUCGUCGACAGUAAAGGGAUUCAGAUAGUUCCUUUCGCUAGCUUAAUACGCAUCUGAUUGGUUAACCGGAUAUAUCAAUCGGCCAUCGCAUCUGAUUGGUUAAUGGUCCCUUAAUGGUAGUGGUAAUUGGUGUCAAAUCUGGAUCUCUCUAAUUUUGAAAUGGCUUUAUCUGAUUGGUCUGCGGGAAAUCGUUCUAAAAUUAGCGCGUAGGAAUGUACUCGCAUUUCUGGAUUUUUGAAAGGGAAAAAAGGCAUUUUUUGUGGAGAGAGGAAUGAUGUGCGGUUUUGGUAAUAGUUGUAAAUCUCGUAUAAAGAUUGCUGUAACAAUUGUGUUCGAUUGUCGAUAUAUUAUUACCUAUACUGGCGCCAACAGUUCGAAUAAUAUCUUUUUAACCUGGAAAUUUUGUCAUUAAUUACACAUUCACUUUUAGGCUUAAGAAAAAUUCGACUGAGAAACACCGUUUCAGCAAGCGAAUAUUUUGGACUGCGUAUUAAAAUAAAUUAGUUGCGAUCAAGCCAAUUAGAUUUAAAUACUUGCAGAAGCAACGCAAUAGACG